rnacentral:rRNA from 1 species
GUUGUAGUUUGAUCAUGGCUCAGGAUGAGCCGCUCGGCUUGACCGAUGCCUAAUACAUGCAAGUCGAGCGAAUGAUUAAGAGCUUGCUCUUAUGAAGUUAGCGGCGGACGGGUGAGUAACACGUGGGUAACCUGCCCAUAAGACUGGGAUAACUCCGGGAAACCGGGGCUAAUACCGGAUAAUAUUUUGAACUGCAUGGUCGAAUUGGGCGGUUCGUGUCACUUAUGGAUGGACCCGCGAUCAGCAUUAGCUAGUNGGUGAGGUAACGGACUCACCAAGGGCAACGAAUGCGUAGACAGACCUGAGAGGGUGAUCGGCACAACACUGGGACUGANACACGGACCAGA